rnacentral:rRNA from 1 species
AUGUCGACGUCGUCGGGGGCCAAGGAGGCGCCGGCCAACAACCCGGGCCUGCAGGCCGAGGUCGACCCCGCCACCAAGGGCUACUUCAUGCAGCAGACACUGCAGUGUCAACUUAGCAUCCCACUCUGUUUGGCCCAGUAUUGCCGCUGUGCAUAUGUUUUAUUACUGCACCACGUAUGUAUCAGCAAUCUUCGCAAUCGUGCAGACAAAAGCAAGCGGUUGCCUCCAAUUUACAAGGUUUCAAAAACUGUAUAUGCAUCCCCUAGCCGUGUAAAUUUCCGCCUUGAUCAAAGAAAGGCUGUAGAGACAGUACCUGCAUAUCCGAACAUUUAUUUCUCAGUUGAUGACUUCGAUGAUCCUUUUGAUGCUGUGGUUUUGUCAGACCCAGAACACUGCUAUUGUGUGAUUCUCAAUGCGCAUGAUGGGGCAGCAUUUCCUGAAGAAAGCGAAUCAAGCAAUGUCGGUUCAAAUAUACAAUCUGGGAUCAACUCUGGGAGCAGUGGAGAGAACCCACCAAAGGUUCACUCUCUUCCUAAAUGA